GGUUCAGUGGUAUAGGUGGUUAUUACACCUGUCUCACACACAGGAGGUCUCCGGUUCGAGUCCGGGCUGAAUCA
rnacentral:tRNA from 1 species